UACGUAGGGUCCGAGCGUUGUCCGGAGUUACUGGGCGUAAAGCGCGCGCAGGCGGCUCGUCAAGUCUGGCGUGAAAGCCCCCGGCUCAACCGGGGAGGGUCGUCGGAGACUGGCGAGCUUGAGGGCGGUAGGGGCUGGGUGGAAUUCCCGGUGUAGUGGUGAAAUGCGUAGAGAUCGGGAAGGAACACCAGUGGCGAAGGCGACUACCUGGCCUGUUCUUGACGCUGAGGCGCGAAAGCUAGGGGAGCAAACGGGG
rnacentral:rRNA from 1 species